rnacentral:tRNA from 2 species
UCCCUGGUGGUCCAGUGGUUAAGACUCUAAGCUUUCAAUGCACGGGGCCCAGGUUCAAUCCCUGGCCAGGGAA